CCGCGCCACGUGGGGCCGCGGCCGGGCCGUGCUGCCCCCUGGCGGCCGGAUCCGGGAGGCCCGGAGGCCGCCGCGCCGCACCUGGCCGCCCGCGGCCGCUCUAGGAACGCGGGGCCUCUCGGUGGUGGCGGGGGCCCGUCGUCGCGCGCCCAGGAAGGGGCUGUGCCCGAAGCCGGGGUUCUGCGGCGCGGGCGCUUCUACAAGGCGCGCCAGGCCUCUCUGCCGAGCGGGCGGCCCGGCGCCGUCUUUGCACGCCCCGAGACCAUCCCUCUGGGGCCGAAGCCGCUCUGGUUUUCUUGUUUUUUCGCACGCCUGGCCGGCCCCGUCCCCCGACCCGUCGCGGGCGCGUUCUUUGUGCAGAUCCUGUUGCUGGGAACCCGUGGGUGCAGAGCGGACCUCGGGGCUCUGCGGAGAGCGGGAGCGCCGAGACGUGCCCCACCCGUAAGGCCCAAAGCCGCUCCGAGGAGAAGACUUAAAGGGAAAUCCCAACGAGCCGCGGGGACCGAGAAGGAAGGGGUGGCCCCUGGAAUUGACCCGAGCUUUAGGGAUGCAAACCCUUUCCCGCGUGGCACUGCUCGAGUCGGUUAAGCUCUACACCACGCGGAGGCGCACCUUGAGAAGCGUCCUGACGAUGGGCUCGACCUGUUGUUUCUUGAUACAUUUUCAAAUAUGUCUAUAGUUAUUUCCAAGAGUUGGAAUUGCCCUGUCAAAGGGUAUAGGCAUUUUUUUUUUUAAGGCCUUUUGAUGCCUGUUGCCAAACCAUUUUCCAGAAGGGCCACGGGCUUACCUUGUUCUCUGUGGGACGUAGGUAGGGUACCCGCAGGCAGAGCUGCCAACUGGGAAGGUGGUCUCUUGUGGGGAGGGGGAGGGGUUGAGAAUCGCCUGGCAUUUAAGGGGCAACAUGGGGUUCCGUGUGAGUGAUGACCAGGCAGGCAGUGGCUUUGCGACAGUGCCCUGGGUCAUACUGUGGGACUGACUCUCAGUGGAUGUCAACGCUUCCGGAACAUUGGGCAGCCAGAGGGAUCCUUUGAAAAUGCGGGUCCUCUUUUGCUCUUCGGGUAAAAUCCAAAAUCGCAUCAGGGCCCACCGGGCCCUGCCUGCCUCUCCAGCCCUAUCUUGGGCAGUGUAUUGGUUUCCUAGGGCUGCGUCACGAAAUACCAGAAACUGGGUGGCUUCACAUAACAGAAGUUUAUUGUCUAAAAAAGUCCACAAUCAAGGCGGCGUUAGGGUUGGCUCUUACUGGAGACCCUGUUGCACGCCUCGCUCUGUUGCCGGCAAUCCUCUAUGUCCCUUCGCUUGUGGACGCAUCACUCCAGUGUCUGCCUCCAUCCUCACGUGGUGUUUCCCUUGUGUCUCUAUCUCUAUGUCUCUUCUCUUCCUCUAAGGACAAUAGUCAUAUUAGAUGAAGGACGCACCCUAAUUCUGAACCACCUCAUCCUAACUUACUAUCUGCAAUGACCCUACUUCCAGAUCAUGCCACAUUGGAGGUUCCUGAAAGGACGUGGAUUUGAGCGGACGCUGUCCAACCCACAAGAGGCUGUCUCCCCUGACUCGGGGGCCCUGGCCUUCUCUCCACUCUCCUGGCUCAGCCUCUGCCCCCCACCCUGUCCUCCUGGGCCACCCAUCUCCACCUCCCGUCCCCUCCUCCUGCAAGGUGUUGUGGAAAUGUCACUGCCUCCGAGAAGCCCUCCCAAACCCCGCAGAUGAGGGUCACCCUGCCUUGUUUAACGGGCUCAUGACACCCAUCCCAAUGGUAUCUGAGGAAGUGCCUGAGUCACAGUGUGUCAGUCUCACGUGUGCCUCCCCUGGAAGGUCACCCCCGUGAGGGCCGGAACCAGGCCGCCUGGGUGAGCAAUAACAAACCUAAACACGUGGGCACGGAGACUGACUGCGGAAGCCUGUCUCAGUAGGACAGGCCAGAGGGGACAGGCUCUGUACCAAGCCCACUGCAGGGCCCUCCAGGAAGGCCUCCGAAGCGGUGGCCCCGGGACACGGGGGAGACAGACCUGCGGUCAGGGCAGGCUCCACCCCUCCCCCGACCAUGACUUUCAAGGCCCUCUCUAAGCUGCCCCUGCCCCACCUCAAUGACCUCUGCUCACAUCUCUGUCUUGUUCUGUCCCUUUGCACUGUUCACGCUCCUGCAUCCAUCCUGCCAAGCCAGCUCCCUUCUUAGGGCCUUGGCGGUCUCUACCCACAGCCCGGAAUGCUCUGCAUCCAGGUUUUUACACACUGGCUUCUUACCAUUCAGACUUCAGCUCCUAUUGUCACUUCCCUGACGACCCCAUCUCACCCGCGUCGUCCUCCAUCACAUCAACCUGCUUUAUUUUCAGUGUCUGUGAUGAUCUUGUUCAUUUGUUUGUUCUCCUGUCUGUCCCCCUAACCUCUCAGAAUAUAAGCUCCGUGAAAGCAAGGACCUCGUUUGCCUGUUCACUGCUGAGCCCUCAGUGCCAGGCUAGAACCUGGAACACAGUGGGUGCUUCCUGUUUGUUGAAUGACUGAAUGAAAGUUAACCCUUCCAAGCUCUGUUUCUUCAUCUACAAAAUGGGGAUAAUCUGAGCUACUUCAUAAGAGAUAAUAAUUGUACCUACCUCAAAGGGAAGAUUAAAUGAGAGGAGGUACAUGAAAUGCCUCCAGAGUAGUAAACACUCAGCAUAUUGGAACCAUUAUCAGUAUCUUAGAUUGACACCCAGCCUAACAUGGAGGGGAUGUGGCAGAUGUGGUGGUAACUCUUACAGAUCCCCAGAGGGAUUACAGAGGGUGAUUCAACCUUCACAUUCUUUCAGUUACCCAACCUUUACCACAAAAGGAUGGAAGAAGUGUGGUAUUGUAACAGCCCUGAACUUGGACCAAGUGGUCUUGAAACUGAGUGUCUUAGAACUUUCUGAAGCUGCAUCCUCACCUGCAAAAUGGAAAUAAUUAUUCCUUAUAAAAGCUUAAGUGGCUUAUAUGUAAAUUAUGAUGCAUAUUUCCCAAAUGACUCUACCACUGGUUCUUUUUGUCUUAAAGCAAUUAUUUAUUAAUUAUAUCAUAGUAAAUGGUAUUGCUUGCAAUUACUAGAAGGGAAUAUGCUUAAAUUUGUAAUAUUGUUUUUUCUGAUUUUGAAAGUAAUAUAUUACAGAAAAUUUGGAGGAUAUAGAAAGUUUGAAGAAGAAAGUUUUAAAAUCAUCCCUAAUCCCCCCAUUUUUAGUCCUCCUCUUUAUGCCAUGGAGCAAACAAUACAAAUUUAAAUGCAUUGGCAAGAGGAACAGUGAUGUCAGCAGGUCCAGCAACUUGGGCUUCCUAGCAGGUAGGUUUGCUUCCUGAAAGGCCAGGGAAAGUGGAGUCCUGGCUUGAUGGAGUCUUGGGAGUGGCUCGGAGGGGAAGGAGGCCCACGAGAAGGGACUGGUCUUUUGAGGGUGUGGCCCGAGGAGAGCAUCUGACUAUAGAUUAAGAGGUCCUGAUGUGGAUUCAGAGGUACUUUUACCACGUCCUUAAUUUUUUUUUUUUUUUACAUUUCUAAGUAGUUUAUGAAAAUAAUACAUUACUGGAAAUUUUUACAUUUGAAAUAAUGCUCUCUGUCAUUUAACACAGAAUCACCUGGUUUUAAAAGACACCAGUGUCCUUGUCUCUCAACUAGCUGCCCCCCUCCUCCCUGCAUUAGGGUUUUUUAAACCUUUUUAAACCUCCCUAGAAGGUUCUAAUAAGAUCAGGAUUAAGAACCAUGACUUAGCAUGUAAUUCACAUUUUCUUGUGAAUUAUACGAAACAUUUAAAUAGCUUGCAGGACCUUAUUUCCCCCACCAGGGAUCGAACCCACACCCCCUGCAGUGGAAGCCAAGGAGUCCUAAUCACUACCCUGCCAGGGAAGUCCCAGUAGUUUUUGAUCACUGGAGAUCUAGCAUACUUCCCUUAACUACCUCUCUAGUAUUAGGCAUGUUUAAAUAUUUUAAAUAACACUUAAGAGGGCUUACAUGUAAGUAAGUAAGAGGACUUACAUAUCUUUGAGCCAACAUUUGUUCAUAUUUCAGACAUUUUCUAAGGAUGGAUUCCAAGAAAUGGAAUUACUACCAAGUCAAAGGGAAUUAAUUAUUUAAAAUAAUCUCUGGUUUUACACUGCCCUUCCCCUCAAGAAAGAUUGUACCAAUUUACAGUCCCAAUUUACAGUACUAAUAUGAUAAUUACUGUUUUAAUUGUUUUCCUAAUUUGAUAGGUGAAAAAUGUUAUGUUUUAAUUUGCAUUUCUUUGGUCUUCCUAAAAUUUACCCUGAUUUACUGAGAUUGAGCACAUCCUUGAUGGCCUAAGUGGAGCCUUUACAUAUUAAGGAUAUUUAUUUGCAGCAUUUUGUCUGUCGUAAAUGAUGGAAAUUUGCUAUAAUCCCAACUUGCUAUUAACCUUUCAAUUUUGUUCAUAUUCCUAAACUCUUAAUGUUUAAAUAACUACUGACAUUUUCUGUUCGGAUUUCUUCCAUGCCUUCCCUGCUGUUCAGAAAUUAGUUAGAUAUUCAUUUAUAUUCUCUCAUACUUUAUGUUCGGUUUUGUUAUACACAGUGCUUUAAUCCACUUGGACUGUAUUUUGAUAUACAAAAAGAAGUUUAGGUGCUACUUUAAUUAUUUUUCCCAAAUGGCCAAUUAAACUCUCCUAGCUUGAUUUAUGUAAAUAACCUUUCCUUUCCCGUCUGAAUUCGUGACUGCUCUACGUCGGGGCAGUAAAACGCCGUGGUUAAGUGUGUGGUUAAGUAAGCCUCGACAGCUUAUUUCGCAUCCUGCCCCCCUCGGGUUCCUCCGCUGUGCCCCUGGGGUAGCAAUCACAGCCCGCUCCCAGAGGGCUGUGGACGUCCUCAGCGCUUGGGAGGCACUCGCGAUGAUCUUUUAUUACGUGGGUACACAUACUAUGGUGUUCUCCCAGGUCUGGCUGCCUUGCGCUGUUUUAGUAGAUGUUCUAAUAUUUACAGUGGAAAAGUCCUCCAGUGUCGCUUCUGUUAUUACUUUCGCAGUUUUCUUAGCUACCGUCACCUAUUUCAUUUUUGGAAAUAAACGGUUCCCCUUUUAUUUACUAGGCCUGGCCUUCCGUUUACCUCUCAAGGAAGGAGUUCGAAAAGGACACUGCUUGAUGCAGCUGGCAGACUAGCUAAGGUUUGCGCGGUUAGGGGAGCAGAGCCGCGAGGGGCAUCAGAGCGGUGGGAAGAUGAGAGAGAGGCGGCGAAGACGAGGAGGAGGACGACGAGACCAAAAGCCGGAAAAGGGCAGAUGGAGCAGAAGCAACGAGGCGGCCCGGGCUCAGGCCGGAGCUUGGCGCGCUGAGAAGUCUCCCUCCGGGCGGCCUGGGUCUUCUCCAGGCAACAAGAGGGGCCCUGAACCUCUACCACCUCCGGCUGUGGGCAGAAGACUGUGACCAAAUCAAUCGUCCCACCGAACCUGGGGAGGAAAACCGGUUGGAGUUCUGAGCAGGAAGGCCCGCCUGGAGCGACCAUAGGCAGCAAAACCCAAGGCAGAGGCUACGACGGUCGGCAGGGCCUGGGUGUGGCUGCACGGCUAUAAAGGUGUGAGUUGAGACAAUUUAGCUGUGUCAGGGGGUAUAGCUCAGGGGUAGAGCAUUUGACUGCAGAUCAAGAGGUCUCCGGUUCGAAUCCGGGUACCCCCUGCCCACGUAGCAUUUUGGAAUUUCCAGGCUUCAGCAAGCCUGAGGCCCAUGGCCUUCCUUCCUUGGGUCCCUGUAGUUCCAGCACCCCUCCACACUGAGAACAACACCCGCUGACUCUUUCCCAUCUGGAGAUGUUCCACCCGGAACAGCCACCUAUGGAUUGUGGAGAGGUCCACAGUGUGGGAAGCCUCAUUGGCUUCUUGCACUUUUCAAGGAAAUGGGGGGAGCAGGAUGCUGUCAGGGCCCCAGGAGGGUCCUGCUGCUCGUCAGAGUGUGGUAGAUGGAAGGAGCCCCAGGGAGGAGUAAGAAGUUGGGGUUCUGGUCCCAGCACCACCAUCACCCCACCUUUUCUCAUCAGCACAAGGGGUGUCAGCCAGGAGCAAUGAGGGCUGCUCGCACAGGACAGAAGCAAGACUGGGGUCUGCGGACGGCUCUGGGGAGGCGUAGGAGACCCACAGAUUUCCAGGUCCCUGGACAGCCACUUUCAAGUGACUUUUUUCUGUAGACCAAAAUAUGUUUAAUGAAAAUACCUCUGAUCCAGGUGCUAAAGUAACUGAUUAAAAGAAGGAAGAAGGAAGAAUUAAGUAGUUAAGGAAUGACCAGCUCUCUACCUGCAACAGCCCCCUUCGCAAUCCUGCAGGCAGAUCACACAAGCAAGAUAACGUCUGGAGAGAGAGGCAGCCAGCCAGCAAGCAAUGGAGAAGGAUGCAGAGCCCGACCUCCUGCCUCGAUGGUUCACUGAAAUUCUUCCCCAUUUUUCCCUUUAAAAACUGUCAUGGCUGAGCAGAAUCUUUGCAGUUGGUCUUGGGACAUGAGUUCACCUUCUCCCCAGAUAGCGGGCUUUUCUGAUUAAAGCGUUUUUCGUUUCUACUGA